rnacentral:rRNA from 1 species
UAGACUUUGAGAGUGGCGCACGGGUGCGUAACACGUAUGCAACCUGCCCUUGACUGGAGAAUAGCCUCUCGAAAGAGAGAUUAAUGUUCCAUAACAUAAUGAUAGAGCAUUCUAUUAUUAUCAAAGCUCCGGCGGUCAAGGAUGGGCAUGCGGUUGAUUAGCUAGUUGGUGGGGUAAUGGCUCACCAAGGCUACGAUCAAUAGGGGGUCUGAGAGGAUGUCCCCCCACACUGGUACUGAGACACGGACCAGACUCCUACGGGAGGCAGCAGUAGGGAAUAUUGGACAAUGGAGGCAACUCUGAUCCAGCCAUGCCGCGUGCAGGAAGACUGCCCUAUGGGUUGUAAACUGCUUUUGUACGGGAAGAAACCCAUCUACGUGUAGGUGGUUGACGGUACCGUAAGAAUAAGGAUCGGCUAACUUCGUGCCAGCAGCCGCGGUAAUACGAAGGAUCCAAGCGUUGUCCGGAUUUACUGGGUUUAAAGGGAGCGUAGGCGGUCUAAUAAGUCAGUGGUGAAAGCCUUCAGCUUAACUGAAGAAUUGCCAUUGAAACUGCUAGACUCGAGUAUGGUUGAGGUCACUGGAAUGUAACAUGUAGCGGUGAAAUGCAUAGAUAUGUUACAGAACACCAAUUGCGAA